rnacentral:rRNA from 1 species
UACAGAGGUCCCAAGCGUUGUUCGGAUUCACUGGGCGUAAAGGGUGCGUAGGCGGUCGGGUAAGUCUGAUGUGAAAUCUCACAGCUUAACUGUGAAACUGCAUUGGAUACUAUCCGGCUCGAGGAAUGGAGGGGAGACUGGAAUACUUGGUGUGGCAGUGAAAUGCGUAGAUAUCAAGUGGAACACCAGUGGCGAAGGCGGCACUCUGGGCCGAUACUGACACUGAGGAGCGAAAGCGUGGGGAGCGAACAGG